rnacentral:rRNA from 1 species
GAUGAACGCUGGCGGCGUGCCUAAUACAUGCAAGUCGAGCGAACAGACGAGGAGCUUGCUCCUCUGACGUUAGCGGCGGACGGGUGAGUAACACGUGGAUAACCUACCUAUAAGACUGGGAUAACUUCGGGAAACCGGAGCUAAUACCGGAUAAUAUAUUGAACCGCAUGGUUCAAUAGUGAAAGACGGUUUUGCUGUCACUUAUAGAUGGAUCCGCGCCGCAUUAGAUAGUUGGUAAGGUAACGGCUUACCAAGGCAACGAUGCGUAGCCGACCUGAGAGGGGGAUCGGCCACACUGGAACUGAGACACGGUCCAGACUCCUACGGGAGGCAGCAGUAGGGAAUCUUCCGCAAUGGGCGAAAGCUUGACGGAGCAACGCCGCGUGAGUGAUGAAGGUCUUCGGAUCGUAAAACUCUGUUAUUAGGGAAGAACAAAUGUGUAAGUAACUAUGCACGUCUUGACGGUACCUAAUCAGAAAGCCACGGCUAACUACGUG